rnacentral:lncRNA from 1 species
CUCAUGAUCUAGAACAGCUAGAGCACUAAUUCUUUCUUUAGCAGAAAGCCUAAUCUACAUAUUACAAAGUGCUGAGAGCAGAAUUUCAAAUUUGUGCGUAUGUAUAUUUCCAUUUUAUGAAUUUUCUUUUGGUGUGGUAGCCUUAGGUCAAGGAAAGAAUUUUGAUCACCUGCAGAAUGGCUAAUUAAAAUUUCAUUUGAAAACUUUUUUGCAGCAUUGCAGUUAUUGCACAUUAUAGUAUCUAGCUAUGCAAUAAUAUUCAAUUUCUGCUCAGCAGUUUUUUUUCCAUUGUCUCCGGAAACAAUAGAGUGGCAGCACCGUCAAUCUCCUGAACUAAUGAACCUACAAGAAAGAUUAUUGCAUAUUUGAAAUCAGCACGAAAAACUAAGUAAGCUUGUAUAUUUUCAUCAGAUUUGGCCAUAAGAUGCAGGUAAUAAUCUCCACAACCCAUGUCCCCCCUUAA